rnacentral:lncRNA from 1 species
CUCUUGCCACAGGUUUAUUUGUAUUAAAUGUGGUUUAAUCUAUUAAGUAACAAGACAAUGGAAGAAAGAAUACAAUGCAACACUAAAAAUUGUCAUAGAAAUAUGUAAAAUAGGGGGGCGGGGCCUGACCAGCAUGGCUGACAGACGUGUGUGUGGUGAGCUCCUCACACAAUCCUAGCUAAACCGAGUACAAACAGAGAUGCUACCCCUAAAACAGCACCAAAUGAGAUUGCACACUGAAAAUAACUGCUGGGGAGCACAAGCAGACGACUCCGGAGAUUCGUCCGCCGUCCUGAAGCCAAACACCACAUGUGAGGCCUACUCAGGCGGAGGGACCCAUGGGGGAGGAAACGGCCGAUCCUCCAACCUGGGACCACCAAGCAAAUGCAAGCAACCCCCCCUGUGCACCGGUGGGGGUAAUCCCGGUCCCUGCUGGGGAAAAGAAAACAGAGAGCAUCUCACCAACACAUGCCGCCGCUACCUGCUCCUGGGCCACAACCAACAUGGCCGACUGAGCAAGGGAACACCCUGAACCGACAUGGGAAACUCGGUUUAAUGCUGCCUUCGACAAGAUAUGUGCAACGUUCUGGAGCCAGAUUGCAGCCCGGGCAGAGCAAACGCAGCAGCCUAUCACUUACACCAUACAGCCCCAGGCGGAAUUCCUAUCAGCGAACAGCCCAACCGAACUAACACACCCAGCCAUGCACAUGGAGAAUGCUGCAGUGUCUGCCGCAUGCCCUUCUUCUGGGCCGGGUACUCACACUAAGGUACCUCUCAAACUUCAGCCAUACACCCGGGGAUUUAUCCGAGAACCGGAAGCACCCCGGGCACAUGACCCUCAAAAUAGGAUCCAUGGCACGAGUCCCCUUUACGGCCGAAGGCCGGUGGCACGCAGACUCUGCAAGCCCAUGAGCAGCCGGAAACGGCCCAGGCCAGUCAAAAGACCACCUGCCGCGGAAGAAUGUGAGUGGAACGGACAGGGCCCCCCCAUCGUGGCAUGAGGACCUGGCCUCCCAAGACGGCCAGGCGGAGUGGACUGAAGACACUCUCCAACGCCCUCACCUAGACCUGCACAGAAACACUCACUGUACCUAAUAGCCUGAUCGGAACUAGUGAUGUAACUUGCAGCAUGUAAAUUAACAUAGCACUGUACAGCCUCUGAUUUAUAUCGUGCAAGUACCUUCAUUACUACCCAGGCACUAUAGUCAUAGGGGAACUAGAUAUGUUUUACAAGCAUGAGAUUCCUCCCCAGCAAGCUACUUAAACCACUGUUUCCCCUACUUAUUUAUCUACUCGGUGGCUCUUAAAUGUAAAAACGAUGCAAUAUCCACCAGAACCUAAUCUCUAAACCCAGCAGAUAUCACACAUUGCAUAUAUAAGUUUCACACCUAAGACAUGUUUAAGCCUGACAGCCACUAUAUAUAUGUGUACUAGCCAGGGUAGAAUAAAAUGUUCUGUUAAACCUGUUUCUAUCUUGCUAACUAACUUAAAAUAGUUGCCUACCUAACCUGUUCUCCACUACUCUAGCCUGUAACAUUUCAAGAUUUAUAUUACAGCAUAUAAUGAAGCAUGUCUCUUUAACACAUAAAAAGUGCAAUUGUUUCUCAUGUCAUGGCACUGAAUGCAAAUGUUUGUCUACAUUAUCUACAUUAAGCUUGCUGAUGUUGUCGUGGCAAUGCAAGCCUGUAUGUUCAUCUUUUGUUGCACACCAAAAUAAAG